rnacentral:rRNA from 1 species
GUAAGGAAUAUUGGUCAAUGGGGGCAACCCUGAACCAGCCAUGCCGCGUGUGUGAAGAAGGCCUUUUGGUUGUAAAGCACUUUAAGCGAGGAGGAGGCUCUUAAGGUUAAUACCCUUGAUGAGUGGACGUUACUCGCAGAAUAAGCACCGGCUAACUCCGUGCCAGCAGCCGCGGUAAUACGGAGGGUGCGAGCGUUGUCCGGAUUUAUUGGGUUUAAAGGGUGCGUAGGCUGGAAGGUCAGUCAGCGGUGAAAAGCUGUCGCUUAACGAUAGUCUUGCCGCAGAUACUUCCUUUCUUGGAUGAGGAGGAGGCCACUGGAACGGAUGGUGUAGCGGUGAAAUGCAUAGAUAUCAUCCAGAACACCGAUUGCGAAGGCAGGUGGCUGUACCUUAAUCGACGCUGAUGCACGAAAGCAUGGGGAGCAAACAGGAUUAGAAACCCCUGUAGUCC